GGGGACGUAUUGGCUUCGACAGGGAUAACUAGGAAAAUUGGCAGUCGGUAGGCGAUGACCGUAAAUCAAGCACAUCAAUAAAUGCUAACGAUGAAAACUUUGCAUUGGCAGCUUAAUUAAAAAGCUCCCAGGAGUGUGAUUCACUUUGCAACAGAAAGAAUCAAGGCAGCUUCGGCUGCCUUUUU
rnacentral:tmRNA from 2 species